GACCGCGUAGCUCAGUUGGAAGAGCAUUGGGCUAGUAUUCCAAAGGUAGUAAGUUCGAAUCCCACCGUGGCCG
rnacentral:tRNA from 1 species